AUGGAGUUCGGCUGGGCUGGCGGCGGUCGGCGGUGGACGCGGGUCCAUGAGUUGUGGGGCUCCAUCUGCCGCUCGACCACCGCUUACUCCCACUCUGUUCACUGGUUUUGUUUUCACUCUCACGCCUGUUCCUCGUCGACCUGCAGUAGCAGGAGACACGAGAUCACCUCCGGCACCGCUGGUCACAUGAAGGCCGUCAAAGAUGUUAUAUUCUCCGUAAAAAUAGGUGUUUGCUUAUCUAUAUUCUCUAUUGUUGAAUUGUAG
rnacentral:rRNA from 1 species